rnacentral:rRNA from 1 species
AACGAACGCUGGCGGCAUGCCUAACACAUGCAAGUCGAACGAGACCUUCGGGUCUAGUGGCGCACGGGUGCGUAACGCGUGGGAACCUGCCCUUAGGUUCGGAAUAACUCCCCGAAAGGGGUGCUAAUACCGGAUAAUGUCUUCGGACCAAAGAUUUAUCGCCUUUGGAUGGGCCCGCGUUGGAUUAGCUAGUUGGUAGGGUAAAAGCCUACCAAGGCGACGAUCCAUAGCUGGUCUGAGAGGAAGAUCAGCCACACUGGGACUGAGACACGGCCCAGACUCCUACGGGAGGCAGCAGUGGGGAAUAUUGGACAAUGGGCGAAAGCCUGAUCCAGCAAUGCCGCGUGAGUGAUGAAGGCCUUAGGGUUGUAAAGCUCUUUUACCCGGGAUGAUAAUGACAGUACCGGGAGAAUAAGCUCCGGCUAACUCCGU